UCUUCCUCCUUUCUUUUUUACUUUUUCCCUCCAACAUUUCCCUCCCACCUUUCUCUCUCCCAUACAACACUUCCCCUCAAUUUGCCUCUUCCUCUUCCCACAGAACGCAACUCAACCGCUACCCUUCUGAUUUCCCUCUUCCUCUUCUCACAACCUACCAUCUGAACGUCGCUGCUACCCUUUUGAUUUCCCUCUUCCACUUCUCGCAACCCACCAUCCAAACGACGCCGCUACCCUCCCCAUUUCUCUCUUCCUCUUCUCGCAACCCACCAUUCUAACGCCGCUGCUACUUGCUACCAUCUGAACAUCGCCGAACACCACUGCUAUCUGCUACCAUCUGAACGUCGUUGGAGGCCGCCACUCCCUUGCUCACCAAACUCGUCGUAAGUGCUCCGUUUGUUGCAGCUCACCCUAAAAACCAAGCAACAAGGAAGUCAUAGUUUGCGACCAAAAAUUGAAGAACAUAUUUGAAGGGAAAAAUGAGGUUGGGUUUCUGGAGAUUGCAGAUUUGAUAAGUACUCAUAUUUGAAGGGAAAAAUGAGGUUGGAUUUCUGGGGAUUGCAGAUUUGAUAAGUACUCCACACUUUCUAUAAUUAUUCAAAGUAUGGAAGAUAAACAUAAUAUGGACCUUCUUUUCAGUCCAUGAAGAUUAACUUUUUGUUUUGUACAAGGAAAGAGUACUAACUAUUGCUAUGGGAAAAGCUUUGCUUGAUUCUAAAAUCUUGGUUUGUUCCAUUCAACGUGACUAACAAUUUUUAAUAUGUAGGAUGAAUUUAUUGUUCAUGUAUUUUGUUACAUAACUUAGGUUCGAGGGAUUAAUAUCAAGCUAGUGGAUGAAUACUUAUUCGAUCUUCUUACAAGUUUAUCUUGUACAACUUUUCUACAUCUUGUACGACUUUUCUCAAUUUACUACGCGAACUUUAGGAUUUUUGUUGAUUGGAGUUCUUUUGCUUCUUUGAUUAUUUGAUCGACUAGUUAUUUUGUUUUUCACAUUUUGAAUUGUUUUACAGUGAGGGCAGAAAGGUGAAUUAAUAAUUUUGGGUAGAUAUGGUUUCCUUCAAAACGAUUGACCGCAAGAGAAGAGAAGACUAUUGGCCGUGGAAUUCUUCCCUUGCUCCAACGUGCAACUUUGGUUCAAACUUUUGGACAAAGGAACCAUGUUUGCUUGAAUGAGGGUCUAUCAUUGUUCCUCCAUAUUGUCCUCCCCAGAAAAUGAAAACCCACCUAAUCCCCCUUGAAACUCCUUGCUCUAUCUUUGUCUAUUUUCGUGGAUUGUUUUAUGAUGUUAACAAUGACCCAGAAGGUGGUUAUUACAUAAGAGGUGCAAGAGCAGGUGUGUGGGGGAACUUGAAAAACAAUCAUCUCUUUGACAUCUUUACCCACCAUCCAACGACGUAUUAUGAAGAUAUGCAGGGGGAAAUAUUCUGUUUAUGUCCUCUUGGACAUCUCUACCAACGAUCCAUCUACCGAGUUCAGGUAGGACAAUAUGAACAGAGAUCUACUAUCGUAACCGAGAUUAUUAGAUCAGGCACGGUAGAUCGAGCUAGUUACUAUUGUGAUUGAGUUUCAGAGUACAAAUUUAACAGAGAUUUGUUUUAGAAAGAAAAAGAGAUAUUUAAAGAUACAAGAGUUAUUUAAUGACAAAAGGAGUUUAUCAAAGUGAAAGGUUUAGAAA